rnacentral:rRNA from 1 species
GAUGAACGCUGGCGGCGUGCCUAAUACAUGCAAGUCGAGCGAACAGACGAGGAGCUUACUCCUCUGACGUUAGCGGCGGACGGGUGAGUAACACGUGGAUAACCUACCUAUAAGACUGGGAUAACUUCGGGAAACCGGAGCUAAUACCGGAUAAUAUAUUGAACCGCAUGGUUCAAUAGUGAAAGACAGUUUUGCUGUCACUUAUAGAUGGAUCCGCGCCGCAUUAGCUAGUUGGUAAGGUAACGGCUUACCAAGGCAACGAUGCGUAGCCGACCUGAGAGGGUGAUCGGCCACACUGGAACUGAGACACGGUCCAGACUCCUACGGGAGGCAGCAGUAGGGAAUCUUCCGCAAUGGGCGAAAGCCUGACGGAGCAACGCCGCGUGAGUGAUGAAGGUCUUCGGAUCGUAAAACUCUGUUAUUAGGGAAGAACAAAUGUGUAAGUAACUAUGCACGUCUUGACGGUACCUAAUCAGAAAGCCACGGCUAACUACGUG